AACCACUCUUGUAUUUGCCUCUCUUCUGCGCCUCCCUCGCUCCCUCCCUCCCUCCUUUCCUGUUCUCCAUCAAUGGUGCCCUUUGCGAGUCCGUAUAAUGAGAUUUCUAUCUUCCGCCUGGUUCUAUGCUUUCGUGUGCUCAGACGCAUACCAUCAUCAUAAACACUCCCGUCGAUUCAAGUUCUCGAUCUCGAUCUAGGUCUAGGUCUCGUCCUUCAUGUCUCUGCUGUUGUUUGUGUCGUGUUCCUGAUCCCGAUUAACGUGGGAGUAUCUGUCGGAAUCUGUCAUUCCUUAUCAGACUUCCACUGGCAAAUGGACGCUCCCGUCAUUCUGGUUCUAGCCAUGGCUUCUGCAGAAGUCCUUUUCAAUUCGGAGAGCCUUUGUGAAGGAACUUUGUUUGUACGAAGAGAUAAAAUUUUCUCUCGGAAACCUUAUUUCUGUACGCGAAACAAUCAGGGUCGAUAAUCUAGAGGACAGGUUAAAUGUGCGUCUGUAUGAACCGGGCAUAUAUCUGACAUAUCGUGUUGCUAAUUAGUUAUUGAGAGUAUUUCAAAGGCCCAGCAAUAUGCCUGUGCUGAGUACUUUUGCACGUCAGUCUGAUUCCAAGCUCCUAUGCCCCUACCCCUUCCCCCCAAAAAAGAAAAAGGUACAUUGUCUAUGCCUGUUUUUGGAAUUUAAAAUGACUGAAACUAGUUUGAUAGCGUUGCCUUGGCAGUGCAUGCGAGAAGCAGUGGUGCUGUUCCAUACCCCCAUGAUGUCCAAUGCUAGUUUUAGGUCUUUAUGCUAUAGUGAAGUUUCUAGUUUUUGCACUUCUAUUCUUUUUCAUUUUGAGAGAUUCUAUGCACUUUGUACCGCUGGUUUUAAUUUUAGUGUUGUGUUUAGCAUCUCUACCUAUGAGUUUUGGAAUAUUAAAUUAUUUAGGAGUCGUGAUUUGUGAGCCAAGUAUUUUCUUCAAACAUUGUGUUCUUUUAAUUCCUAGUUGCUUUGGUCAGUGAGAUGAUUGUAUUGAUGUAUUUUCUUCUCUUUUUGUUUACCCAUCUAAAGGUACUGCUGGUUAAUUAUUAUUAUUUUCCCCAUAUUUCACUUUUGCCUUUUUCCUCGCUAGUUAUCAUUAAUGUCUUAAUGAUGGAAAACAUUUGAGAUGACUGGGAGGAGAAAAUUUUUAAUCUGAUUGGAAGAAAAAGAACAUAGCUGGGAAGUGGAACUAUAUGUCAGGCAAAUGGAGUGGAGACCGCCAUGCUCAUUUCGGUACUCUUAUCACAUUAUGGGCAAGGUUCCUGGAGCAGUAAAGAUAGCAGCAGGCUUAGCUCCCUGAAAAUGUAACAUAGGUCCCUUCUGCAUCGUCAUAUACUGGAGUAAAUCAUUUCAUAAAAGAGGAUUUUGCGUACGCUGUUUAGAUACCUGAUCUUGAUGCUAGAAAGGUACGCAUUUUACUCAUGUUCGAUAAUGUUGUAUUUGAAAUGCCAUUUCCCCAUUGUGACCCCUGUAGUUACUGUGUGACAAGGGUUAUGGAAUGGAUGGUGCUUGAAUGCCUCCAACCAUCAAAACCCAAGUUCAGGGGAUCGUGGAGCCAAGAGUGAGCUGAAAUCUGCCCAUGUCCUUAAUCAGCAAUCAAACUUUGCCUUGUAUUUAUAUUUCAAGGAUGACCCAGAUGUCCUUGAUCAGCAAUCAAACUUUGCCUUGCAUUAUAUGCAUGCUUUGAAUUGGGGCAAGAAUUCUUUGUAUUAAUUCUCAUGUUCCAUUUUAAAUCUUUAAUUUGUCUGGGA